UGGAAGUUGAAGUUGAAGCUCCUUUUCUACACAGACCUGCUGAGGACAGAAGAGAGCUGCACACUGAUGAAGUUCAUGGCUGAAAGUUCAGUUUUUCUGUGUUAAAAAGGAGCUGAGCAGGAGAGACGACAUUUUAAAACCUGUUUCCUCGUGUGCUUCGACUCUUCGCUGGAAAAACAACUCAAAUCUAAAUUAAAGUCUAAAGUGUUUCCUCUCCAGAUGAAGGUGUGGACUCUGCUAUGAGUCAGUGUGAGGACAGAGAGGAGGGAGUCCCUCCCUCUAAAACCACUCUGUGUGGGGAACAUGACAGCCAGACCAAAGCUCAGAGCCCAGAGAAGCAGCACAGACCUGGACCUGGAUCUGGACCCAGCUGUGUGUCCAUGAAGAGUGA